GAGAAAGACGUGGACGCGUGUAUUUAGGUCACCUUCCUCAUCUCCGUCCGCCGGCCCAAAAAUCCACCUUCUCCUCUGUUCUCCUUCUCUCCCAAGCCGCCCCCAUGCCGAUUCAGCCCCAACCUGCAGCCUCCUUCUCUCCCUAGCCGCCCCAUGCCGAUUCAGCCCCAACCUGCAGCAUGCAAGGAGCAAGGGGGAACUAGAUCGGCCCCAACAGGGCAAGAUCCCCGUGCACCAGAUCUAUCAUCCCCAUCGUGGGAGCAGCCAUGGCCUCCCUGAAUCCUUUUGUCCAUCCAAAGGAUCUGCGCCGACGAGCACAGGGCGAGGUCCUGGUGCACCGGAUCCGUCGCCCCCCACUACAGGAGGAGCCAUGGCAUCCGGUUCACCGUGCGUUCUGCCCUUCUCCAAGAAUGGAUCUACGCCGACGACCCCAUACUGCCCAAGGUCCAUUCUCCCACCAUGCUUCCACCACUAUCAAGGAAACUGAGAGAUGUGCAUCUACACAAUAUAUUUGCUCAGCUCAUCAUGGUCUCAACUAAGUCGUGAAGCUGCUUGUUUGACCAAUUGACCAACAUGUAGAUCUUGGCGCACGACAGAGUUACCGUGUGGUGUGACCGGGGCUUCUUCCACUAUGACCCCUCCUGCCCUGCCUCUUCGGUGGCCCCGAUUCUUCUUCCACUCUGGGAUAGCUCGUGGAUAUGGUACAUCAUCAUCACCGAUGAAGAGGAGAAGGGGUUUAUCGUGUCAGGAAAGGUGUGUGGUGGUAGGCUUGGUCUCCGGCCUCGGCAUCUUCCGUUGGCCCCGGUGCCGCGCGGCUGAGGCGAUGUUGUUUGGCAUCAGCUACAAAAUAGCCAUGUUAUUUACAGGUUAUUGCCGACAUGAGGUCUAUAUGUCCAUGAUUGUUGUGCUACUGUUAAUAUGAUGCAGAUUUUUGUGUUCUUACGUAAGCUGCCUAUUUUUUAUAUUUUAUCUAAGUGCCGAACUUGUGAUUCUUAUACUCAGCCUCAUGUUUUGUGAGCCAGAUGUUCCUCUUUAAGACCUGGAUGGGCAACCUGUUGCAAGUGCUCAAGGGGUGUUCAGAGCAUAUACUUCUCAAGGCCAACAUUGUGAUGCAUGUGUAGUUAGUUUAGAAGUGUUUUGGUAUAGCAACACGAGCUAAUAUGUAGUUUGGUCUGUAGUUCAUUGUAUAUGCAAGUCGAAUUGUCCUAACCAUUUUAUGAAACUUAAUCUAGCUUUUUAUUGGAUUGCUGGGUGGUAUGAAUAUGUUGUAUGAUGAAUAAUUUUGAAUUAUGGUUGGUAUAAAUCCAAAUUUGGCAUG